rnacentral:lncRNA from 1 species
CUCAAACGUCACGCCUCCCACGUUGUCACUCACUGCAAGUCUCGCUGCAGUACGUCACUGAUAAAGCCACUCAACGUUGGGGAUGACUUCUUUCGGCUCGAGCUACGGAGUUGCUUCUGCCCAACCCGAUUUUGGAACUCGUUCACUCACCGGUACAGGAGUACGGCGUUUACCGUAGGGCCACCGGCAAUAACUGCCAGAAGAAGUUGUGGGAUUCCCUGGAACUGGAGCAACCAACAGUUUGUGUGCACCAUGUGGGUAAUGGGAAUCGAACCUGGGUCCUCUAUAAGACUGGCCAGUGCUCUUAACUACUGAGGUGCAUUUCUUUCGGAAUUGAUUCACAUAACUAUUAUGCUAUACUGUUUGAAGUAUUUAUUAGAAAAACAUCAGAAAGAGGUGAGUAACCAUCUGUUGGGCUGUGGGAGAUUGCUCUCAAUUUUUCACUUUUCUCUGUAGCCAUACCUUUUGCCCUUAAUGUUUUGAUUUUGGGGUGAUUUGCUUUAUUAAUAGCAAAGUUAUUAAAAAAGGAGUAGAGGA